AUUGAACGCUGGCGGCAGGCUUAACACAUGCAAGUCGAACGAGUGGCGGACGGGUGAGUAAUGCUUGGGAAUCUGGCUUAUGGAGGGGGAUAACGACGGGAAACUGUCGCUAAUACCGCGUACCAUAAGAUGAGCCCAGGUGGGAUUAGGUAGUUGGUGGGGUAAUGGCCUACCAAGCCUACGAUCUCUAGCGGGUCUGAGAGGAUGACCAGCCACACCGGGACUGAGACACGGUCCGUCCUCUGACGGGAGGCAGCAGUGGGGAAUAUUGCGCAAUGGGGGCAACCUGAUGCAGCCAUGCCGCGUGAAUGAAGAAGGCCUUCGGGUUGUAAAGUUCUUUCGGUGAGGAGGCGUUAAUCACAGAAGAAGCACCGGCUAACUCCGUGCCAGCAGCCGCGGUAAUUC
rnacentral:rRNA from 1 species